GCCUGGGUGGCUCAGUCGGUUGAGCGUCUGACUUCGGCUCAGGUCAUGAUCUCACGGUCUGUGAGUUUGAGCCCCGCAUCCGGCU
rnacentral:tRNA from 1 species